rnacentral:rRNA from 1 species
UACGGGGGGGGCAAGCGUUGUUCGGAAUUACUGGGCGUAAAGGGCUCGUAGGCGGCCAACUAAGUCGAACGUGAAAUCCCUCAGCUUAACUGGGGAACUGCGUCCGAUACUGAUUGGCUUGAAUCCGGAAGAGGGAUGCGGAAUUCCAGGUGUAGCGGUGAAAUGCGUAGAUAUCUGGAGGAACACCGGUGGCGAAGGCGGCAUCCUGGGUCGGUAUUGACGCUGAGGAGCGAAAGCGUGGGGAGCAAACAGG